rnacentral:lncRNA from 1 species
UCAUCUUCUUCUCCUCGCCGGAAUAUAUGCCUUCCUCCACCAUGCUGUCUUCUUCUCAUCAACGGUCAAAGGGUGUCUUCUUCCUCUCAUUCAUCAUCCUCUCCCUUUCUCCCCGACAUCCUUGAGUCCACCACUACCAUCUGCCCAUUAAUAGUUGACUGGCUGCUUCAUCCUUGAUAGUUGACCGUCAUCCUCCCACCAUCUUCUUCUAUCAUCUCAUUCAUUUUCUUCUCCUCUUCUCCCCAGCAUCCCAUGGUGAAUUACCAUCAUCUCCACACCGAUGUGUAAGCCCCAACCCAAUCCAUUGACCAGUAGGCCUAACCAAGUCCAACUUGUCCAACCUGGUGUUGGAGAAAGGCCCAAAAUGGCUUG